rnacentral:rRNA from 1 species
UGGGCGUAAGGGCUCGCAGGCGGUUUCUUAAGUCUGAUGUGAAAGCCCCCGGCUCAACCGGGGAGGGUCAUUGGAAACUGGGGAACUUGAGUGCAGAAGAGGAGAGUGGAAUUCCACGUGUAGCGGUGAAAUGCGUAGAGAUGUGGAGGAACACCAGUGGCGAAGGCGACUCUCUGGUCUGUAACUGACGCUGAGGAGCGAAAGCGUGGGGAGCGAACAGGAUUAGAUACCCUGGUAGUCCACGCCGUAAACGAUGAGUGCUAAGUGUUAGGGGGUUUCCGCCCCUUAGUGCUGCAGCUAACGCAUUAAGCACUCCGCCUGGGGAGUACGGUCGCAAGACUGAAACUCAAAGGAAUUGACGGGGGCCCGCACAAGCGGUGGAGCAUGUGGUUUAAUUCGAAGCAACGCGAAGAACCUUACCAGGUCUUGACAUCCUCUGACAAUCCUAGAGAUAGGACGUCCCCUUCGGGGGCAGAGUGACAGGUGGUGCAUGGUUGUCGUCAGCUCGUGUCGUGAGAUGUUGGGUUAAGUCCCGCAACGAGCGCAACCCUUGAUCUUAGUUGCCAGCAUUCAGUUGGGCACUCUAAGGUGACUGCCGGUGACAAACCGGAGGAAGGUGGGGAUGAC